UACAUGGGGUGCAAACGUUGCUCGGAAUUAUUGGGCGUAAAGCGCACGUAGGCGGUUUGUUAAGUCGGAUGUGAAAUCCCUCGGCUCAACUGAGGAAGUGCAUCCGAAACUGGCAGGCUUGAGUACUAAAGAGGGUCGCGGAAUUCCCGGUGUAGAGGUGAAAUUCGUAGAUAUCGGGAGGAACACCAGUGGCGAAGGCGGCUCACUGGUCCGGUACUGACGCUGAGGUGCGAAAGCGUGGGGAGCAAACAGG
rnacentral:rRNA from 1 species